CACGUUUUCCACCCUGAGUUACACAGAGGAACAUUCCUCGUCGUGCUCCGACCACCGCGCAGCCAGUUCCAACACCGAGAUGACUCCAGUGUACGAGCUCACCAGGAAGAGGACGAGGACGACCCUCCUCACGCCCAGCCCCACACUCGCCAGCGGGGGUGCGAGCCCCGUUGUCAGCCCCGCACGCCAAUCAGGGCGGCCCGCCUGCCUUCCUGUAGGUGUGCCCGGCUCACCUGGGAGCCGCGGUGCUGAUGACAUACCUGCAGCCCCGGGGGAAGCACAGAGAUAGUCUGCUGUCGCCCAGGGCAGGGGGGCUACAGCCGGAACGGCGCCGGGGGCAGCACUGGCCCCGACCCGGCCGCCGCAGGUAAGGGCACUGUGGGAGUGGUGUUGCCGUUUGCCUGGAGAGGCGCGGGCCUGGCGCCCGGUCCCGCACGGGCCGGGCUGAGGCCGGGCUGGAGGGGCGCUCUUCCCGGGGCCGGUGCGGCAGGGAGAGAGGACGGCCGAAAGGGCGGCCUGCCGUUUCAGGAUCCGAUGGGGAGGAGGAGUAGGAAGGAUCUCGGGAGAAGGAACUCGCCCUUAUCCUGCGGUGGGACGACGGGCCUGCUGCGCUCGACUGGGACGCGGGGCUCGGCCCGAUGCGCAUUUGUGUCCUAUGAGGAGGUGCUAGUGGAAAAUUAAGUGUAUGCUAGCAAGAGCAUGUCUUUUCUGGCAUUCUUCAUUUCAUAGCAGAAGGAAAGAGCUCAUUUCAGCCUGUGUUCUGUGCCAUCAGGGAAGGCAGCCUUCCUCUGGAGUUCAUGUGGCCCACCAUAUCACCUUGCACAGAAAGGUUUGAAGUGGGACAGAAGUGUGACAUGGCUCCUGCAGCAGAAGACAUUUAAAAAGUAAUCCCAAACUUCCUUUGUCUCAAACAAGAGAUUUAAGAAGAAAUUGCAUAGGAGAGACCUGACCUAUACACCUAAGUUCAAGUUUAUUUGUGAGGAGUUGGUUUUCAAGAAUGGUUUGGUGGAGAUGCUUGUUUUGUGCCUAGAGAUGCCAGGAAAUAUCUGAUGCUGAAAUAUCUGUAUGUCUUGAGCUCAUAAAAUUGUUGGAGUUGCAAAAGGGGGCUUUUCUGAAUGUGGACAGAGUGAAAAAUAGGCUGCUGACUUCUGUGAAGUUAUGGGGCAUGUACUUUCAUCAACUGGACAGUAAGAUCACUAGAAUGUAAGCAUGAUACAAGAGUAAAAAUGAUCCGGAAUGUGUUGAAACAAUUAUGAACACCACAUUGUAUGAAAAACAUAUCUGUUGUUUGUGCUAAGCAUCUACAAUACAAAAAUAAAAUACCUUAGGAACACCUUUUAUAUCAUGAAGAAUUUGGAG
ensembl:lncRNA